UCCGAGAAACCAAUCUAUUCAUGAAUGGACCAAUGGCAGAGGGGAAGAGCGAUCUGGGGAACAAUUGUUGAAGUUAAGCUGGACGUGUUUUGUUUUGGUUAGCCAACGAGGCCAAAGUUUCGUCAACAAUGCGACUGUUUAUCAACUGCUUUGUUGUAAAGAAAUAUUAGUCUGUGAUGUUAUUGGCAAUGGUGUCACUGAAGAUCAACGUUGGGACAGACAAUUCAGCGACGGCGGCCACAGUCGCAGAGGCCAAGUUGGUGUGCCAGGGAGUAAACAACCAGAGCUACAUCUGUGAAUCUGGUCACUGCUGUGGAGAGACACAGUGCUGCAGCUACUAUUAUGAACUUUGGUAGAGGACAUGCUGGGCCUAAUACCACUUCUGCACCUUGAUUUGGAGCAGCAUGCUUGUUUCAGAUGGUGCUCGAUCUAUGGCAGGUAAAAUGAAUGGCUUUUCUGCGCAACUGUCUGGUAUUGCACCAAGGGUAAAAUCACUCCACUGCCUCAUCCACCAGAGUGUGCUGUGCUGUUGUUUGUACACGUUUUUCAUUCCUCAGUGUCCAGCUCUAGUAAUGCACAAUUCUUUUUUGUAAACGGCUUCUGUUGACAUAAUGUUCCAAAUGUUCAAGUAGUGUAACUAGUGUGUUGUGUGGUAUCAAAUACACUGGCAAAUUCAUAUCUUCUUUUUGCAAUGUUUUUGCUUAAGAAAUGCUUUGAUAUAUCUAGGUAAGCGAUGUCAGAACUGACCAUGUCAGAACAUCCAUCCAUCCAUUGUCUGUUACUGCUUUAUUCCUUUUAUGGGGUCGCAGAUUUUUUUUGCUGGAGCCAAUCCCAGCUGUCUCUGGCCAAGAGCAGGGUACACCCUGGACAAGUCACUAGCUCAUUCGCUGCCAGCUCAUUCAUUCGCCCUUCACUGAUGGCAGGGACUGCCAUGCAAAAUGCCAACUGCUAUGCAAAGUACACGAAGAAGCCUUGCAAAGGAAAACUUUACCCUUAAUGAUGACGCAGGCAACUAUAUCUGUUCUUUUCAAAAAGGGUAAAGACCCGCUACAUUGUGACUCCACAGAGAUCAGACAGGCUUUAUGACUGGCAGGCAACUGGCUGGCAAUUUACGUCGCCUCUUUAACAUACUAUAUACGCCAAACCACAGUCACACGCAAGAGGUACUAAUAUCAUUAGAUGCACACAAUGCCUUUUACACGGUGGAGUACAAUUACCUAUUUGCAGCUCUUAGAAAGUUUGGGUUUGGACAGAAAUUUUGUGGCUGGGUAAAUCUUUUGUAUUCUAAUCCACAGGCUUCUGUACGCACUAAUAACCUUAUAUCAGACUAUUUUCCAAUGUUCAGGGGUACAAGGCAAGGGUGUCCCUUGUCACCCCUAUUGUUCAAUAUCGCUAGACCGAUGCGGCCACAACCAUAAAUUUUCAUUAUACUGUGAUGAUCUCCUUUUGUACCUUUCACAUCCAGAUACUAUACCUGCUGCAUUAGACCUUAUCACUAAAUUUGGGGUAAUUUCUGAUUACAAAAUGAACUUUUGAACUAAUUUUUCCUAUAAUUGUGGCUGCAAAGCAGAGGCCUCUUGACAUGUUCCCCUUUAAGAUCCCAUAUGACUCCUUUAAAUACCUAGGUGUACAUGUUAUUGAGAGAUUCAAGGAUCUUUUUAAAAAUAACUUUAAGAUGGAACUGGAAAGGACUAAACAAGACUUGACAAGAUGGUCGUCCCUUCCAUUAUCGCUGGCAGGAAGAAUUAACUCAAUAAAAAUGGCCAUAAUGCUAUGAUUCUUAUUUCUUUUUCAGAUCCCCACAUUCAUUCCUAAAGCAUUCUUUACUGAAAUUAAUAAAUACAUAUCCAACUUUGUAUGGAACGGAACUGUGCCACAAAUUAGGCAAACUUUUCUAGAGAGGCCCAGGGAAAAUGGGGGUAUAGCAUUACCAAACCUAAUGCACUAUUACUGGGCAGCUAUCCCUCAUGCCCUUUCAUAUUGGACAUCUAACAUCCCUGAACAUGAGGCACCAGUAUGGUAACGUAUGGAACAGCAUUCUAGCUCGCCCAACUCACUGGCUGCCUUGGCUUGUCCUCCGAUGCCGAUUAGCAGGUGCUACCACACAAAUAAUCCAAUAAUUUGGAACUCCCUCUGAAUCUGGUCACAAUUCAGAGUACAUUUUGGACAUAAGAAACCACUUCUAUCAAGUCCCAUCCUUGCCAAUCCCUUCUUUCCUCCCUCUCUCAUAGAUCCAGCAUUUACGCUGUGGAAAAGUAGAGGUCUCAUAUGUGUAAAGGAUUUCUUUAAAGAUGACCUUAUUUCAUUUGACUAUCUAAAGGUACGUUUUGACAUUCUAAACACCCAUUUCUUCAGAUACCUGCAGAUUUGAAAUUACACUAAGACAUGUUUGUCACCUUCCCUAGUAGCCAUAGAGGAAGAAUGGGUCCAUGAUUGUGUUAACAGGGAUCCACAAACAAAAGGCUUUGUUUAAUUUGUAUAUGAUACAGUCCAAAAUGUACCUGCUCCUUCCCUUCUGCAGACACCGGGUGUGACCUGGCAACUAGCAAUAAGUCGAGUGAACGCAUCAUCUAUCUGUAUCAGACAUGGUCUAAUUCAGUUUAAGAUAUUUCACAGGCUCCCUGAGCAGACUGACUAAACUAUAUGCCGAUGUAGAUCCAAGAUGCGAAAGAUGUCACCAGGUGGAGGCCACCCUUGGCCACAUGUUUUGGUCAUGCCCAGUGUUGAGCUUCUUCUGGUUGUCUACCUUUGAUGGCAUCACCUAAGUUUGUAAGAAAAGGAUCAGCUCCAAUCCAAUUAUGGCAAAAUGGUGUGCCUCACCAGGAGGGAUCAUGCUCUCAGCAAAUCAAGCAAGUAUGGUUUCUUUUGUCACACUUCUUGCCAGGAAAGUAAUUCUUGUUAACUGGAAAAGCCCUAAUGCUCCAACACAUAAACACUGGCUUGAGGAAAUACUCGCACAUUUAAAGCUCGAGAAAUGUAGAUACUCCUCUCAAGGCUGUACUCAGAAAUUCUACAAUGUGUCGCAGCCAUUUGUUGACUGUUUGAAUGAGAAAUUUUCUGUGCCUGCACAAGAUAACGAUAACCCUGACACUUAACAUCCCCCCCCCCCCCCCCUUUGAAGUAAUGUGUUUUUUUUUCUCUUUUGUCUUUGUUUUGUUUGUUUGUUUGUCUGUUUUGUUUUUGUUCCUUCUUAUUUAUCUAUUUACUUUUUCCUUCAGUCGGUGUGUGGUCGUAUAUGUACGUAAUAAUUGUAAUUCUGACGUCUGUAAUUCUCAAUCUAGACUAUCGAAAAUUCAAUAAAAAUAUUUGAAUAUAUACAAAGUGCCAACUGCACAUCAGGCGCAGUGUCUUGCCCAAGGCCACAUGCAGCUCAGCUCAGCCCAGCCUGGGACAGCUGGGGAUUUGAACCAUCAGCCUUCGGAUCACUAGCCUAUCUGCUCUACCUGCUGAGUUCAGCCGUCCCCAGAGCUGAACAAAUUAUACCUAAUACCCACCAAUUACUGGGGUUAACGCAGUAAUAUAGCGGCAAUGGAGUUGAAUAAAUAUAUAUGCAAUGAAUAUCAACACUUUCACUCACUAAAUUUUCACGUACAUUAAAGUAAUCCUUUUUCAGAAAAUCUCACAUCAAGAUAAUUUAAAAAAUUAUUUUGAAUUGCACUCAGUUUAUGCAGGACCAAAUAACGUCUGUAUGUCAUUGAACUACAUUAAUACUAGAAAAGUACCAGGAUUUGAUUGCAGAAAAGUGAAAACUAGUGGAGAUAUGAAUGUCUGAAAAUGACAGAUACUUCAUUCUGGUUAAAAACUUGUUAUAACUUCAUGUCAUUAAUUUGAUGACUAUAACCAUGAAGCAACAACUAUUUAACUAUUUAGUGAGGUUUAGAGUACACAUACAAGGAAUCAUCAAAAUGCUGUAAUUUAGUUCAGAUGGCUAAACUGGUAUGUGUUUACUUCUGGGGCUAAAUCACUGCAUUUGUUACUAAGAAAAGUAGAAAAUUAAUUUGUUUUUAAAAUGUGGUGGUUCAUUGUGUCAAAUGUACAUACAGAAUGAGAAUAACCGCUCAGGGAAAUGUCUUGCCCCAGGCCCAUACCUUACUGAAAAUGUAGCCCCCUGAACAGUAUAGUGGAAUAGCCCUGCUCUCAAGGGUACCAACAAAUUUAUCCAACCUGUUGUAGAAUGUCUUUGUAUAAUCAGCAUGAAUUCAGGCAUUUGAACAACUUCUUCGCUUUGUUCCACUUCACUUCAACACACUGUUGUUCUAAUGAUAAAAGGUCCUAUAAUGUCAAAACUUUUCAUGGUGAAUGGUGCAUUAUUUGUAAUAACAUGCAAAGGCACCUAUAUUUUCAGCCAUGACUUUAAAGUUUUGUGGGUUUUGAUAAAAAGAACAUCAAAGCCAACGAGUGGCAGUUGCCUUAGAUUGAAGAAGAACUUGAGGGCCAUAACUAGUGAUAUUGAUAGUGAAUAAGAAGAACUGCACUUGCUUCAGCACUGAGUUUGUAUUACUUUUUGUGCCACAACAAGGGAGUUUGGAUUAUUUGUCAAUGGAAAAGAUUUAAUAGAAAACUAUAUAUCUGCAGACUAAGUCAUAGAAAUAUUUCAGUUUGUGUUUUGUGUGUAAGCACUAAGGCUCAGAUUUUGACAGGCUGUAAUUUGCACCAUUUUUCUGGAUAAAUAUUAAGUGGUACUUGUUCUGUGGGCUC